GUGGCCCAGUAUACCGUGAUGGCCUUUGUUCUCUGUUCCCAGUUCCUCACGAUGCGGGCGGCGACCGUGUCAAGUCAGCUCGUGCUUCCCCUCCCUAUUCCCCAAUCCAGCAAACCCUAAUCUCGCCUCUCCGUUCUUGCUCGGCUCCAGCGAGCGGCGGCGCUCGACAUCGACGAGCGGCAGCAGCCGCCAGGGCGGGCGGACGGCAACCGGGGGUGAGGCCUCCUGCUAGGCUGUCACAAGAGCGGCGGCAUGGCAGAUCUGCAGAGCGGCGCUGCCGCGGACGGGUAGCGGCGACUGCAACCUGCUAGGCCUGCCGAGGGACGCCAGGACAUGCCGCUGACCUGCCGUGCAAGCAAGUAGUGGAGGUGAGGGACGACCACCGCAAGUAUGCAGCGGCCUGCGUGCAAGCAAGCAGCAGCUCUGUAGCUGAGCUAAGCAGCAGCGCAGCACCAGGCCACUUGGACGACCAAGAGCUCGAAGCAGGCACACAAAAGGCAAGACUGGAAAUUGGGAUUUCAGAAAAGUUUGUUGGUUUCUACUUCAACUGGAAAGGAAUUGGUGAAUAAACAAUAUGAAGAAGUGCUUGAUGAAGGAGCAUUAUUUCAAGCGUCAUUCUACCGAGGCGGCUGCAUUGAUUAUUUGCUUAUUUGCGGCAUAGUGGAGAGACAAUAUUGGCUAUUUGAAUUAGUGUUUUUUUAAAUUGACUCAUCAUCAAUGUGUAAACCUUGUGUAUAUAAACAUAUUUGCCAAAAUGGUUGUAAAUCUAUAAUUUGAAAUGCAAUAAAGAAAUGUCAAAUAUUUCAUA